CGUCACAUUAGUUAGUUGGUGGGGUAAAGGCCUACCAAGACUAUGAUGUGUAGCCGGGCUGAGAGGUUGAACGGCCACAUUGGGACUGAGACACGGCCCAAACUCCUACGGGAGGCAGCAGUAGGGAAUUUUCGGCAAUGGAGGAAACUCUGACCGAGCAACGCCGCGUGAACGAUGAAGUAUUUCGGUACGUAAAGUUCUUUUAUUAGGGAAGAAUAAAUGAUGGAAAAAUCAUUCUGACGGUACCUAAUGAAUAAGCCCCGGCUAACUAUGUGCCAGCAGCCGCGGUAAUACAUAGGGGGCAAGCGUUAUCCGGAAUUAUUGGGCGUAAAGGGUGCGUAGGCGGUUAAAUAAGUUUAUGGUCUAAGUGCAAUGCUCAACAUUGUGAUGCUAUAAAAACUGUUUAGCUAGAGUAAGAUAGAGGCAAGUGGAAUUCCAUGUGUAGUGGUAAAAUGCGUAAAUAUAUGGAGGAACACCAGUAGCGAAGGCGGCUUGCUGGGUCUUUACUGACGCUGAGGCACGAAAGCGUGGGGAGCAAACAGGAUUAGAUACCCUGGUAGUCCACGCCGUAAACGAUGAGUACUAAACGUUGGGUAAAACCAGUGUUGAAGUUAACACAUUAAGUACUCCGCCUGAGUAGUACGUACGCAAGUAUGAAACUUAAAGGAAUUGACGGGACUCCGCACAAGCGGUGGAUCAUGUUGUUUAAUUCGAAGGUACCCGAAAAACCUCACCAGGUCUUGACAUGCUUCUGCAAAGCUGUAGAAACACAGUGGAGGUUAUCAGUUGCACAGGUGGUGCAUGGUUGUCGUCAGCUCGUGUCGUGAGAUGUUGGGUUAAGUCCCGCAACGAGCGCAACCCUUAUUGUUAGUUACCAGCACGUAAUGGUGGGGACUUUAGCAAGACUGCCAGUGAUAAAUUGGAGGAAGGUGGGGACGACGUCAAAUCAUCAUGCCCCUUAUGACCUGGGCUACAAACGUGAUACAAUGGCUGUUACAAAGGGUAGCUGAAGCGCAAGUUUUUGGCGAAUCUCAAAAAACAG
rnacentral:rRNA from 1 species